CAAUGAUGCACACGUGCGCUUAUCAUUUUACAACAUUUUUUUGCACUUCUGUUUCAGUGAGCUCAAAAUGACGUUGUUUUGAGGCAGAAAUCAAGGUACAUAGACUGGACAGAGACUGCUCCGGCAUUCUGGUGAUGGGAAGGACACAGACAAGUGCUGCAGUUUUGCAUUCCAUCUUCCGCGAGAAAGCUUCCAGGGCGUCAGAUGAUAUUGACACAAAAAAGAGAAUCCUACAAAGAAGGUACUGGGCACUGGUCAUUGGAUGUCCUAGACGUUCAAAGGGGUUGGUUACUGCUUCAUUGGGUGGUUGUUGACAAUGGGAAAUCUGAUCGAAUAGCAUAAGCCUUGGCCAAUAGCAUAAGCCUUGGUUUGCUGCAAUGAUGG